rnacentral:rRNA from 1 species
UUCGUCCGAAGCUUGAUCUUUAGAGGAGUAAAGUCGUAACAAGGUUUCCGUAGGUGAACCUGCGGAAGGAUCAUU